rnacentral:rRNA from 1 species
UACGUAGGUGGCAAGCGUUGUCCGGAAUUACUGGGCGUAAAGGGCGUGUAGGCGGGGAGACAAGUCAGAUGUGAAAUUCCACGGCUUAACUGUGGCGCUGCAUCUGAAACUGUUUCUCUUGAGUACUGGAGAGGAAAGUGGAAUUCCAAGUGUAGCGGUGAAAUGCGUAGAGAUUUGGAGGAACACCAGUGGCGAAGGCGGCUUUCUGGACAGUAACUGACGCUGAGGCGCGAAAGCGUGGGGAGCAAAC